GGAAGGAUCAUUACCGAGUGGAAAGCCGUGAAAAUUUUAAAAAGCGGCUAAUACACAUUUCAACUCUUUGUGAACUUUUUCCUGUUGCUUUGGCGGGACAUCAAUUCAAAAAGGGUACCUCUAGUUUUGUAGUUUGUUCCUUUCCUUUUCAAAACUAGGACUUAAAGGAAGGAAUUACCUUUUUUGUUUUGACUUUAGAGAUUCUCUGAGGAGCAUCCGCCAGAGGUUUUUAUCAAUAAACCCUUUUUUUUAUCAAUUUGUAUUUUUGUUCAAUUAUAAAGAAUAAAAUUAAAACUUUCAGCAACGGAUCUCUUGGCUCUCGCAUCGAUGAAGAACGCAGCGAAAUGCGAUAUGUAUUGUGAAUUGCAGAAAUUCGUGAAUCAUCGAAUCUUUGAACGCACAUUGCGCCUGCUGGAUUUAUCUAGCAAGCAUACCUGUUUGAGCGUCGAUUAAUACUCUCUAACAUACAAAAUAUGUUAGGUCUUGACCCUCCAAGUGUUUAAUUGUUGCAUUCCUCAGAAUGCAGCUGGGUUGAAAUUUAUAUUGCUUCCUGGUUAAAUGUCAGAAUUCAACUUCCAGUGUAAUAGUUGUCAAAAUUCUUAUCGCUGGGCUUUUAUUCUUUAUUAUUUACUUUUCAUACAUCUUGUAAAGUUUGAAAUAAAAAAUAAAGGUAAUUUUGGUUGUUUUUGCUUUAACUAUUGGGAACAUAAUUUAAACUUGAACUUUGGACCUCAAAUCAGGCAAGAAUACCCGCUGAACUUAAGCAUAUCAAUAAGCGGAGGAAAAGAAACCAACAGGGAUUCCCUCAGUAACUGCGAGUGAAGCGGGAAGAGCUCAAAUUUGAAAUCUGGCGGUUUAGGCCGUCCGACUUGUAAUUUCUAGAGGCAUUUUCGGUCAAGAGUCAGGUAGAAGUCCUUUGGAACAGGGCGUCAUAGAGGGUGAGAAUCCCGUACAUGACCUGACAACCUUGGCUAUGUGAAGUGUCUUCGAAGAGUCGAGUUGUUUGGGAAUGCAGCUCAAAAUGGGAGGUAAAUUUCUUCUAAAGCUAAAUAUUGGCGAGAGACCGAUAGCGAACAAGUAGAGUGAUCGAAAGAUGAAAAGAACUUUGAAAAGAGAGUUAAACAGUACGUGAAAUUGCCGAAAGGGAAGCGAUUGGAGUCAGAAUUUACUUGCUUGAGAUCAGCCCUGCUUCUGUUGGGUGCACUUUCAAGUUUAGUAGGUCAGCAUCGAUUUUGGCGGCUUUAGAAAGGCUAGAGGAAUGUAACUUCUCCGGAAGCGUUAUAGCCUCAAGCGUAAUAUGGCCAGCUAGGAUCGAGGACAGCGGCUUAAUUGCCUAGGAUGCUGGCAUAAUGGCUCUAAACGACCCGUCUUGAAACACGGACCAAGGAGUCUAACAACUAUGCGAGUGUUUGGGUGGCAAACCCAUACGCGCAAUGAAAGUGAAUGGAGGUGGGAUCCGAAAGGUGCACCAUCGACCGAUCUUGAAGUUUUCUGAUGGAUUUGAGUAAGAGCAUAGCUGUUGGGACCCGAAAGAUGGUGAACUAUGCCUGAAUAGGGUGAAGCCAGAGGAAACUCUGGUGGAGGCUCGUAGCGAUUCUGACGUGCAAAUCGAUCGUCGAAUUUGGGUAUAGGGGCGAAAGACUAAUCGAACCAUCUAGUAGCUGGUUCCUGC
rnacentral:misc_RNA from 1 species